UGGGAAGGUUUUGUGCUCAAGAGUGGGUGGUGAACGGAGACGUCUUUGGUCUGCAAUAAUGGCUUUUAAUUUAACAACGUUUAAAACACCAACAGCCCUACAGUAUAUUUACUUUUAGCGACUCUUUCUUUAUUGGGGCGGGGGCGGGGGCGGGGUGGCGUGCUGCUGGAUGAGGCUUCGGCGAGGCAGCAGUGAUGACUGCCUCUUUCCUUCCUUAUUUCCGAAAUGAGUUCAGGGAGAGUGGAAGCAUUUAUGGUAACAUUGGCUCAAGACCAUCUCGCUUUUGCCCUUUGGAAAGAUUUAAACGGUUUUUUAAGAAAUCUCUUUCCCAGGAGGGAUGACUCGGAGAAGUUCACUCGGCAAAGCCACAGAGGGCCACACUCUUGCUCCAGGAUGUGGCUGCUUGCCUGCUGCUGCCUCAAAAAAAAAAAAAGCGUGAGGAAGCAAGUUCUCUGGAUUGUCUGUUUAGGGGGGGCAUCCUCCUCCUCUUGCCGGUUCCAGAAGACAAGAGUGGCGCCACGACCCUGGGAAACUCAACACUAUCUGGAACGAGUUGCCUGCGAGUAGUUCAUACCUCUGUAAAGCUGCUGGAAUACCUAGAGGAACUCUGAAUUCAAACCCUCUUCAGGCCGGCAAUAUAUGCCUCCAAUCUGAAUUGGGUUGCCAUUGACCUUGGUGAAAUCUGCCUGAGCCCUGUGCUCCCAGAAAUCAGCGAUGGUUAAGAAAUGCCCCCACCUUUCUGUGUUCCCAGAAAUGGCUUACUACAAAGAGCCACUUCCCCAUAUGACUGCGAUAAAACUCGAGGUCCACUCUUUCUCAUGACUCCAUAAGAUUCGCAGAUGACUCCCUUGUUUACCUAUGACAAGGGCAAACGGAGAUAUUUCCCUUUCUGCCUGCACGUGCUGACAAGACCAGACACAGACCCUCCAGCUCCCCAUUCUUUGUCUCAUGAAUGAAUAGCGGAGAUUAGAACUGUUUGUCCCUCUGAAACUUGUCAGACACAGAAAAACAUUUCCUGUUCAGUUAACUGACCUAGACUUCCUCUGAUUGCAAAACAAUCCCAACUGUAGGUCACCCCACCUGCACCUGUAACUUGUCUAUUCCUCCCUAUAAAAACGUCUAAUGCAAAAUCACCCUGGCAGAAAGACUGUGAUAUUCAGAUUUAGGAUGCUAUUGUAAGAGCCUGAAUAAAAUCAAUCUUUCUUGUCUGGUUUUUGUCUUUGAUA